CAGAAAAAUAAAUCAAGAGAAUUAUGCAGUUUCUAAAAUUUCUAAAGGGUUUGGCGGCAAAGGGAGAGGAGGGGAGAGGCAGGGAGAGGGAGAGAGAUAGAGGGAGGAGACUGGUAACAGAUGGCGCUAGUGGCAAUACCGGCCCGGCCUGAACCAUUGUAGGCUCCCUCCUGUCGUCUGCCUGUGGUGAAGGGGUGACUAUGGAGGACUAAAAUGAGGCUUCGCUGAGAGGACACACCAAGUAGAGGGGUCAGGCAGAGGUCCCCAGCCCCAAGUACCCCAGGCCACCCUAAACCCCCGGACACCCCCAGACACCCCAGACACCCCAUCAGGCGAUCUAGAGGGGUAAACAGGUGUACUUUUGACCUGGGUAGUGAUUAAAAGGCCCACAGGUGUUCCUCGCCCCCAGGGAAGGCACUAAAGAUUCCCCCAGGGGUUUCAUACGUAGCCACAGGUGAUUUGGUGGUCCCCUGGGUGUGUUGUUAAGCCCCAGGUGCGCCCAGGUCAGUGGCAUUAGUUCUCAUUAACGCUCAGGUGUUUAGGGACGCAAGGGAAAGAAAAGGAAGACGUGUUCAAGAGGAAGGAAGAGGAAAAGCUGCAAAUCUCCCGCCCAUUUUCUCUUUCUCACUUUCCUGCAUCCCUCUCUCUCUCUCUUUCUCUUUCUCUCUACCUACCUACUUCUCUCUUUCUCUCUCUCUCUCUUCCACUUUCUCUACAAGGACCGGAGAAAAUGGGAGAGGCUGGGGGGUGAUGCAUACCGGUAACGACUGACCCCCCAACCCCCCUUGAACCCUCUCCCCUCUCCCCCCCCUCCUUCCCUCUCUCCCCUCGUGAAAUCUCAGCCUUACAACAACAAAAACAACAACAACGACGACUACGACGACGAGGAAGAGAGGGUUGUGAGUGCGUGCGUGCGUGUCCGUGCGUGCGUUUAUGCGUGGUAAUGUUUUUUGGAAAGUUUUGAGUAAUUGUGUCCCUUUGUUUGUCACACACACACACACACACACACACACACACACACACACGAGAGAGAGAAGAAGUGCUAUUGAUAAAUCUGAAUAAAUAAAGUAAUAACAACAACAACAACAACUACUACUACUACUACUACUACUACUACUACUACUACUACUACUACUACUACUACUACUACUACCUGUAAUCCACGUAGCACAGGUGAGGCAAGGCAGGUGACUCAAUGAUAGCCAGCCAGCCAGCCAGCCAGCCAGCGGUCAGUCAGUCAGUCGGUCCCCGCCAGCCAGCCGCAGCACACCUCGCUCUCCUCCUGUCCUGCCAUUGGUCCACGCUAGGCACUAACCACUUGGGGAGCCAAUCACAGUGCACCUUAGCCUUUCCUUAACGCUGAUUGGUUAGUUUACUCUCUUAAGAGGGUUUAUAACGCUGUGUCGCGGAGGAGGCGUGUGUGAGUGUAUGUGUGUGCAGGCGCGGGUUGGAACAAGACCCCUGCGUGUGUUUGGAGCAUAAGAGAGCUUCACAAUCACUGCUUCGAAACGGGACUGUGGUGUGAGAAACAGAGGGAAAGAAAGCGAGAUAGCUGCCCUGCGGUGUGACUAGUGGUGUUGUGGUGUGGUGGUGUGGUGUGUGCCUUCUCACUGCUUCGAAACACCUCCCGUGAAGUCGAGUUAGUGCUUCAUUGCUUCAGAAGGGAGUGGAGAAGUGAUGAAGUGUGUGGUGUGGUGAUCUCAUGUUGUGGUGACGUGUGGUGAACUGCUGCUGUCUCUCUCUACCACACCGAGAGAGACUGGAAAGGGAGAACUUGGAGAGAUAGUGACUGGGAGAUAGAAAUAAAGGUAAUCUAUCAGAAAUACAAACUGGGAAGAGGGAAAUGAACAUACGAUAAAAAAAUAUACAAAAUAAAUAAGACAAAUAGAGAAAACAGAUAAAACAGUGUAGGAAAUAGAGAAAUAAGCAGAAGUUAGAAGAAUACGAAGGAAGGAAAAAUAACGAAAAGAAAAAUAGAAUAAGAGAAAUAAAGAAACAAGACUAACGAAGAAAAAAAAAGAAAGUGAGAAAAGGAGGAAAAGAAGUGAACGAAGGUGAAUAUACGAAGAGAAGAAGGAAAAACAAACAGAAGGACAAGGAAAUAAGAGAAACAAGAUCAAUAAACAAGUAAAAAGUGUAAAAAGGAAAACAUUUAUCUACAAAUAUUAUUGGUGAGUGUUGCUGGGAAAGAAAACACCCGAAUUGUUGUUGUUUUGCCCUUAAAUUGUGGUAGAGAAAGCGAAAUUGUGGUAGUUGAAGUGAAAGGAUAAGAACUACUACUACUACUACUACUACAAAUACUACAGUUGCGUGUGUAGUGACUGUAGUGUUGUGAAAGGGGAGAGGAAGAGUAAAAAGGAAGAAGAGGAGGAAGAGAAUUAAAGGAAAGAGGUUUGGAAAGUGAGCGAAGGGAAAAAAAGUAGAAAAGUAGGAAAAAGACGACGUUUUAGUGAUAGGCGAAGGAAAAAUAAUUGCAAAGAAGAAAAAGUUUGUGAGAGGAAAGAGAGA